rnacentral:tRNA from 1 species
GGCAGGAAUAUAGCUCAGUGGUAGAACACUUGCCUGGCAUACAGGAGCCCCUGGGUACAAUCCCCAGUACUGUCA